UGUAAUUAAUUGCAAUUUGCCCAUGAAUCAGCAGUGUGCGAUAGCUGCAAACAAAGCCACUGCAGAGAAUCUGGAAUAGAUUCAGAGACUGGCAAGCAGGAUGAUCAGGGCACUAGGAAGUUCUUAUGAAGAGACAUGGAAGGGCAUGAGUCUGUUUAGCCUUCAGGAAAGAUGACUAAGGGGGCAUAUGAUAGCAUUCUUCAAAUGCCUGAUGGGGUGUCACAUGGAAUAAGGUCAAGAGCUGAUGUCUGUAUGUGUGUGUGUGAGAGAGACUGCGUUUGUUCUCCAGAUUGCAGGCAUGGAAUGGGAAAUUGGAUUUAAAAUACAAGUCAUUUGGUCACAGUCCAUAAAAUCUAUGAUACAAAAGACCAGAUCCAGAUGUGAAGAUCCAAUUAAACCGAUUUAUUACUAAAACACCUAUGCGCAGAAUCUUCUCAACUUAGGCAGCAAAACCACUUUAUGCACAAAAAUGGAAGGAUGUUUCGAUUCCCACCAUGGAUGAAUGGUUACAAAAACUGAAGGAGUUAGCAGAGAUGGCUAAACUGAUUGUUCUGAUCAAAGAAAAUAACGUUCUGCAAGUCCUUCUCCUACAUCAGUGGUGGCAAAACUAUGACAUGUGUGCCAGAGGCAGCACUCGGAUCCCUCUCUGUGGACACAUGCACCAUUGCCCCAGCCCCACCUCCUCUCAUGGUCCCCUCCUCACCAACAGUCCCCCUGGAGGAGAGCUGCCCCCAGGUGCAGCCCAGUGAAGCAGCAUAGCCAAGGACAUGGUAGCCGGGCAGCGGGGACAAGACUCCACCCUUGCGGCCCGUCAUGCACAGAUGAUGCUGCGGAACACGGGCAGAGGGUGUGGCUGCCAUGGCGCUGCUGGCUGCCUGGGUGAUCUAUGGUGGGCCAUGGAGGUGGUGGGUGGCCCAGCGGGCAGGGCGGAGCAAGG